rnacentral:rRNA from 1 species
UGAGUUUACGCUCUACAACCCUUCGUGAACAUACCUAUAACUGUUGCUUCGGCGGGUAGGGUCUCCGUGACCCUCCCGGCCUCCCGCCCCCGGGCGGGUCGGCGCCCGCCGGAGGAUAACCAAACUCUGAUUUAACGACGUUUCUUCUGAGUGGUACAAGCAAAUAAUCAAAACUUUUAACAACGGAUCUCUUGGUUCUGGCAUCGAUGAAGAACGCAGCGAAAUGCGAUAAGUAAUGUGAAUUGCAGAAUUCAGUGAAUCAUCGAAUCUUUGAACGCACAUUGCGCCCGCCAGCAUUCUGGCGGGCAUGCCUGUUCGAGCGUCAUUUCAACCCUCAAGCUCUGCUUGGUGUUGGGGCCCUACAGCUGAUGUAGGCCCUCAAAGGUAGUGGCGGACCCUCCCGGAGCCUCCUUUGCGUAGUAACUUUACGUCUCGCACUGGGAUCCGGAGGGACUCUUGCCGUAAAACCCCCCAAUUUUCCAAAGGGUUGACCUCGGAUCAGGUAGGAAUACCCGCUGAACUUAAGCAU